rnacentral:lncRNA from 1 species
GGGCCCCAACAGUUACUGUGUGAAAACCAUUCAAACAGGAAAACCAACAGGCAAAUCUAUAUAAAAAAUAGAAACGAGAAACACCAUACAUAUGAACUUAGACAGACGACAACUACUGUACGUCAGAUUCCUGACUUAGGACAGGUGCAAACAUUUGCAGCAGGAUCAAACGUUUUAAUGGUACCAAACUUUCUACAUUUUCUGAAACAAUAGUUUAACAUCACUACAAAGAAAAACACACUAUAAAAUAUCAAUUGGAAGGCUUGACUAUAAAAAAAUGCAAAUAAACACACAAUGAACGAAUUAAUGCCAUGCUUCAGAUGAAAAAUAUUUUUUACUCUCAUGAUGUUUAUACAUCUAUUUUCAUUAACUAUUUAGUUUAAAACAUGGGAGGUUGUUUUAUGUUGUCUUUUAAUAUAAUUGCAUCCCAAUUUUUAAUUGUUCACCCAAAGCAAAUUUGUUCGGUUAUAGGAAUCACUUCAUCUCCGGUUCAAAGUAAAAUGACAGUAAAAAGGCUAGAUGUGCAGUAAUAACAUAGAAGUUAAAACUUUUAAUCUUGCUGCAUUGCACCUUGGAACAGAAUAUCUAUAAGCCUAUGUAUGUUCCUGAUUGAACCAUUGAACUAUAUUUUUCACCUUACUAACUCGUGCUUUCUGGGCGUUUCCCAGACCCUUAAUAGGAAAAGUUCUGCUUUAAUAAUUUUUUUACAAUAUUUUAGUCUCAAGCAAAAUGUAUAGAUUCAGUGUAAGGCCUUAGUUUUUAGGGAUAACAUCACAAAUAUGUAGGAUAAAGCAAAUAUGUAAUUCACAUAGUUAAGUAUAUGGCUAUUGAUUUUUGGUAUUUUGGUUUGCCAAUUUUAUCUUUUAUAUACUGUACCUGUUAUUUUUUUUUUUCAAAUUAAGUUAAGAGGGGGUUGAGUUUUAAUGACAUAACUACAUGUAUGUCAAGUAAGUUUUUAUAACACAUUUCAUUUACAACUUGAUGUAACUCCUAACUAGGAUACAAUUUAAAAUACUUUAAAGUAGUAAAGGUGUAACAAGAGUGCACACGCAGAAAUGUCUCGACUUCUUUACUAAUCAUUGAUAUUAUGUUGAUAGUCCUAAAUAUAAAGCUUUAUUACUACUGUCACAUAAACUUAAAACAUUAACCAAGAAAAUAAAUAUAGAUCAAUAAACAAUGAAAAAGGUCAGAUGUACCAUGCCAGGCAGACAUGUACAGUUAACAAUUCUACUACACAACAAAUAUAGUUGACUUAUUGUUUAUAGUAUAAGACAGAGUGCUCACACUGACAUGUCUCGCCUUCUUUACUAAUCAUUGAUAGUAUGUUGAUAGUCCUAAAUAUAAAGCUUUACUACAACUGUCACAUAAACUUCACAUUAACCAAGAAAGCUAAACAUUGACCAAUGAACCAUGAAAUUAAGGUCAAGGUCAGAUUUCAGAAAGACAUGUACAGCUAACAAUUCUUUCAUACAACAAAUAUAGUUGACCUACCGCUUAUAGUUAAAGAUAAACAGACCAAAACAUUAAAACUUAACACUGAACAAUGAACCAUGAAAAUGAGGUCAAGGUCAAAUAAACCUGCACGACUAAUAUAUAGAUCAUAAAAUAUUUCCAUACACCAAAUAUAGUUAACAUUUUGCAUAUAGUAUUAAAAAAAAAGACCAAAACUCAAAAAUUUAACUUUGACCACUGAACCAUGAAAAUGAGGUCAAGGUCAGAUGACACCUGCCAACUAGACAUGUACACCUUACAAUCCUUCCAUACACCAAAUAUAGAAGACCUAUUGCAUAUAGUAUAAGAAAAACAGACCAAAACACAAAAACUUAUCUAUAACCACUGAACCAUAACAAUGAGGUCAAGGUCAGAUGACACCUGCCGGUCAGACAUGUACACCUUACAGUCCUUCCAUACACCAAAUAUUCAAGACCUAUAACUUAUAGUAUCUGAGAUAUGGACUUGACCACCAAAACUUAACCUUGUUCAUUGAUCCAUGAAACGAGGUCAUGGUCAAGUGAAAACUGUCUGACGGGCAACAGGACCUUGCAAGGUACGCACAUACCAAAUAUAGUUAUCCUAUUACUUAUAAUAAGAGAGAAUUUAGCAUUACAAAAAAUUUUAACUUUUUUUUCAAGUAGUCACUGAAACCAUGAAAAUGAGGUCAAGGACAUUGGACAUGUGACUGAUAGAAACUUUGUAACAUGACGCAUCUAGGACUUCCACCUUCUAAAAUAUAAAGUUUUUAAGAAGUUAGCUAACGCCGCCACAAAAGUUGCAGGGUCAACAAAAAACAGACCAAAACACAACCAGAUGCUCCACAGGGUGCAGCUUUAUACGACCGCAGAGGUCGAACCCUGAACAGUUGGGGCUAGUAUGGGCACAACAUUAAAGCUUGAUACAGCUCUGAAUUUGGAUUGUGAUUACAUCAUUGACACAACAUAGGUUUCUGACACAGAAUGAAUGUGGUAUAAGAACUUAAACUUAAAAAUUUUAAAUUGGACAUUUACCUAUUAUGAUCCAAUAUCCAAAAUCUAAAUACAUGGUUAGAUUCAGCAUAUCAUAGAACCCCAAGAAUUCAAUUUUUGAUGAAAUCAAACAAAGUUUAAUUUUGGCCCCUUUUGGCCCCUAUUUCCUAUUCAAUUUUUGUUGAAAUCAAAUAUAGUUUAAUUUGGGGGACCCCAAUUUUGACCAACUUGAAAACUGGGCCCAUAAUCAAACAAGAUGCUCUGCAGGGCGCAGCUUUAUACGACCGCAGAUGUUGAACCCUGAACAGUUGGGGCAAGUAUGGACACAACAUUCAAGCUGGAUUCAUCUCUAAAGUUGGAUUGUGAUUAAAUAGUUGACAGAGCAUAGGUUUCUGACACAGAAUGAAUGUGGUCUAAUAAACUUAAAAUUUGUUUUUUGCCUUUGAGCAAUUCACUAUGCUGUUGAAUAUUAAUCCUCUCAAAAUAAAAUUGAGAAUGGAAAUGGGGAAUGUGCCAAAGAGACAACAACCCUACCAUAGAGCAGACAACAGCAGAAGGUCACCAACAGGUCUUCAAUGCAACAAGAAAUUGUCGCACCCGGAGUCUUCCUUCAGCUGGCCCCUAAACAAAUAUUUACUGGUUCAGUGAUAAUGAACUCCAUACUAAACUCCAAAUUGUACACAAGAAACUAAAAGUUAAAAUAAUAAAGACUAACAAAGACCAGAGGCUCCUGACUUGGGACAGCGGAAAAAUGUGGCGGAGAUAAACAUGUUUGUGAGAUCUCAACCCUCCCCUAAUACCUCUAGCCAAUGCAGAAAAGUAAACGCAUAACAAUACGCACAUUAAAAUUCUGUUCAAGAGUAGUCCGAGUCUGAUGUCAGAAGAUGUAACCAAAGAAAAUAUACAAAAUAUACUGUGCAAUUGAAAAUUUCUUGCUAUUGCACAAUACUGUGCAAUUGAAGAUUUGUUGCUAAUGCUGAAUACUGUGCAAUUGAAAAUUUCUUGCUAUUGCACAAUACUUAAUAUAAUAAUUUUGGACCCUGAUUUGAACCAACUUGAAGAAAACUGGGCCAAUAAUAAAAAAUCUAAGUACUUUUUUAGAUUCAGCAUAUCAAAG